GAGGAGCUGUCCGAGGAGCUGUCCUCACAGAUGUGAGGAGCUGUCCGAGGAGCUGUCCUCACAUAUGUGAGGAGCUGUCCUCACAAACUCCAUUACAAGAUGGCACCCGCAUCCAGCAGAACGCACCUAGUAAAAAAGGCAAUACGCAGGCGCCUGGUAACUUCCCUACUCAAAGGGACACGUACGUUUUGGUACGUCAUCUGGCAUAAUUGGCAGCAACCAGUCAGAGAGUGACACGUCCUAGGCGAGGAUAGUUUCCUAUAUAAGGGACGGUUAUUCCUCACUCGGCGUCUCCGCAUUGUAAGCUUAUGCUCUCCCUCUCAAGAUGCAUUAAAGCUUUUCUGCAGUAGGAUCCUGUGUGUGCCGUGUCGUUCCUGCUGGCAAGACGUAGCGCGGGACAUCUGGUGCCAAAAACUCGGGAAAGACCUCGCCAUCGUCAGCACCUUCGGAGAUCCCUUGGCGACAAGGAGGAUUCAGAACUGCAGCAUCUGUUACAGAAUUGGACCUCGGAGUUUGAACAGACACUUCGAGAGCUGAGAGCGACCAUCAUUCAAGUAAAUUCUACCCGACUGGACCUGUCUUUGACGGAGGGAUUGUCGUCCUGGAUCACCUCAGCAGUCUCUUAUUUCAAGGAAUGGGUGGGAGUGGGACUUUUUGGAGUGAUCCUCUGCUGUGGAUUAGUGUUACUCCUCUGGUUGCUUUGCAAAUUGAGAUCUCAAACAAGAAAGGACAAAGUAGUGAUCACCCAGGUGCUUGUAGCCCUUGAACAAGGAGCGUCAGCUGAUAUCUGGUUGACCAUGCUCAAGCAACAGGUCGCCGGCUGGACAGCUCUUGCACUCCUAGAACCUCGGUUCAUUGCACAGGAUUAGAGUGUCCGGCUUGAGCAGCCCAUGAGGGGUGACGAGCUUAGCAUCGCACAGGGAAGUUCUACCAAAUACGCUCCCUGGAAGGCAUGUCAUAUUACAUGAGGGUUUCUGCUCCAGUUUUCCCUCCCUCGAAAAAUGGCAGUGCGACGGGUCGGGAGUGCCCUGGGUCCCAACAACAGCCUAAGGGUAUCUCUCUUGUACAGGUUCGCCAACUUUGUACGAGGAUAUGACCUCUGUCUUCGCCCUCCUAUAUCUGGGUGUCCUGUUUGCUUAAAAAUACAGAAAAGGGGGAGAUGUAAGGAGCUGUCCGAGGAGCUGUCCUCACAGAUGUGAGGAGCUGUCCGAGGAGCUGUCCUCACAUAUGUGAGGAGCUGUCCUCACAAACUCCAUUACAAGAUGGCACCCGCAUCCAGCAGAACGCACCUAGUAAAAAAGGCAAUACGCAGGCGCCUGGUAACUUCCCUACUCAAAGGGACACGUACGUUUUGGUACGUCAUCUGGCAUAAUUGGCAGCAACCAGUCAGAGAGUGACACGUCCUAGGCGAGGAUAGUUUCCUAUAUAAGGGACGGUUAUUCCUCACUCGGCGUCUCCGCAUUGUAAGCUUAUGCUCUCCCUCUCAAGACGCAUUAAAGCUUUUCUGCAGUAG